rnacentral:tRNA from 1 species
GAGGGUACAGCUCAGUGGUAGAGUACAUGCUUAGCACGCACAAGGUCCUGGGUUCAAGUCCCAGUAUCUGUU